GCCCAGAUGGCGGAAUUGGUAGACGCACUAGGUUCAGGUCCUAGCGGUGGCGACACCGUGGAGGUUCGAGUCCUCUUCUGGGCACCA
rnacentral:tRNA from 1 species